AUGUUAGCCCGCUCCCUUCUGCAGCGUAGAAUGAGACACCGCACUCUUGCCUCCGUCCCGGCCCUGUGGGCCUCCUUCCCCUGUCCACGCUCUGAGCUGCGCCUGGACCUGGUUCUGGCUUCUGGACAGUCAUUCCGGUGGAGGGAGCAAAGCCCUGCGCACUGGAGUGGCGUGCUGGCCGACCAGGUAUGGACACUGACCCAGACCGAGGAGCAUCUUUACUGCACUGUGUACCGAGGGGAUAAGGGCCGGGUUGGCAGGCCCACACUGGAAGAGCUAAAGGCCGUGCGACAGUACUUCCAGCUGGAUGUCAGCCUUGCUCAGCUGUAUCACCAUUGGAGUUCUGUGGACCCCCACUUUCAAGAGGUGGCUCAGAAAUUCCAAGGUGUGCGACUUCUGCAACAGGACCCCAUCGAGUGCCUCUUCUCCUUCAUCUGUUCCUCCAACAACAACAUUGCCCGCAUCACUGGCAUGGUGGAGCGGCUCUGCCAGACCUUCGGACCUCGGCUCCUCCAGCUUGAUGAUGUCACCUACCAUGGCUUCCCCACCUUGCAGGCCCUGGCUGGGCCACAGGUGGAGGCUCAGCUCAGGAAGCUGGGCCUGGGGUAUCGUGCUCGCUAUGUGAGUGCCAGUGCCCGAGCCAUCCUGGAAGAACGGGGUGGACUUCCCUGGCUGCAGCAGCUGCGCAAGGCCCCCUACGAGGAGGCCCAUAAGGCCCUCUGCACCCUGCCUGGGGUAGGCACCAAGACAAGCCCCAGGCUGUGCCCGUGGACGUCCAUGUGUGGCAGAUCGCUCAAUGUGACUACAGCUGGCACCCCACCACCGCCAAGGGUCCGAGCCCCCAGGCCAACAAGGAACUGGGAAGCUUCUUCCGGAGCCUGUGGGGACCUUAUGCUGGCUGGGCCCAAGCAACUCCUCCCCCCCGCCAGGUGCUGUUCAGUGCUGACCUGCGCCAACCCCACCGAGCUCAGGAGCCACCAGCAAAGCGCAGAAAGAGAUGCCCAGGGCCGGAAGGCUAGAGUGAUCUCUUCUACCUGGCAGGAAGCAUGGUGUGAGGCAGCCCCAACUUUCCAACUGAACCCAGCAAAAGAGGAGCUACACCCAGUUUCAUGUAUCAGUCUCAGGGAAGGACUCCGAUGGGCUCUGCUGGAGUGACAUGCCUAUGCCUUUACCCCCAGAACUGUUGCCAGAGGAAUAAGUACUAUACAGGGGGACACGGGUUCGAGCCCUGGUCCGGGAAGAUCCCACAUACCGCGGAGCAACUAAGCCCGUGCGCCACAACUACUGAGCCUGCACUCUAGAGCCCGUGCUCUGCAACAAGAGAAGCCACCACAAUGAAGAGUGGCCCCAGCUCUCCGCAACUAGAGAAAGCCCGUGCACGGCAACAAAGACCCAAUGCAGCCAAAAAUAAAUAAAUGAAAAAAAUAAAUGAAAAGAAAAAUAAAAAGUGUUCUGGUGCCAGCAGAAGACCUGCUUACUUCAGCAACCAAAUUCCAGAGCAAACUAAGGGUCUAGACAGCCGGAGGUCUACAGGAGGUGAGUGGGAUACCAAACUGACCCCUCUGAAUGGAACCUGACCUAUAAAUUCAAUUCAUGGUGGAGCUGGAAGGUCACUUAGAGAUCUAUCUAGUCCAACCUGUUAAUUUUUCAGAAGGGGAAGCUGCUGCUCAGGGCAAGAGAUGCCUUGCUUAAGGCCCGGCAGCUAGCCCAUGCAGGGCUGAGGGCUGCACGCCGGCCUUCUGAUAGCCAAGCUAGUUCCUUCACUGCCCUUUACUUCUGUAGCUGCACAUCCCCAUUCCUCUCUCUCUCUCCCCUCCCCCCUCCCUUCCUCAGUACUCUUUCAUCUGUAUUUUCCUCUUCUUGCCCUUGAAAGGGAACUAGAAAGAGGCUUUGGAUUCAGCCUUGGGCUCCAGUCACAGCUUAGCUGUUUAUUGGCUGUGUGACCUUCAGCAGAACACUCAUUUCACUGGGCCUUUAUUUCCUCAUUUGGUAAACAGGGAAAACUACCACCUACUCCCUGGGCUAUAGCAGAGAUUAAGUAAGAGGGUGUACAUAAAGCCCCUGGUACAUGGUAGGCACUCAGUAUACCCUCAUCCUUAAAUACCCUAGCAGCUUGCCAGCAACUUCUUCUCCUAAAGAUGCACAUCUUUACCAACCACUCACGUGGUGACCACAAGCCCUUUGCCCUGCUUCUCUUCCUAACCCAGCACAACGUCUGAGAGACAGGCAGAGGUGGCCAAAUGAAUGAGCGUGUCCUGCUCUAUUGGGGCUCUGUGAGGCGGAGACACAACAGCUGCCUACGAGGAGCAAGGGGACUUAGUUGGGCUGCUUCUCUAUCUCCCCAAUAAAAGGGUAGCCACUACCAUGAUCUCCCGACAGAUACCACCUGCCCCCUUGUUGUGAGGAGUGCAAGGCAAGAUGGACGGGAAUGAAUAGAAAAUGAAUGACAUCGCACUAAAACACUGGUCAUUUCCUGGUGAGGGGCUGGUAGUGAUCACAGAUGCUCAAGAAAAUGUUAACAGUUGAUAAACCGAGGUGGAGAGUAUACCGGCGUUUACUGUACCACUCCGUCAGAUUUUCUGUGUGUAUGAAAUGUUUCACAAAAAAACUCUGGGGGGAAAAAGAAAAUACGCAUGGAAAGACUUAAAAAUAAACCACACAACAAUGCGAAUAUAGUUAACACCACUGAACCGUACACUUGAAAAUGGUUUAGAGGGUAAACUUUGUGUUAUUUGUU